rnacentral:rRNA from 1 species
UCACCUGCCGAAGCAACUAGCCCUGAAAAUGGAUGGCGCUCUAGCGUCGUGCCUAUACCGGGCCGUCAACGGCAAAGUGGGCUGGUGACCGUCGGUUAACGCCGGCGUUCUCGGCCGUUAAGCCUUGACGAGUAGGAGGCGCGCGGCGGUGUGCGCAGAAGGGUCUGGGCGCGAGCCUGCCUGGAGCCGCCGUCGGUGCAGAUCUUGGUGGUAGUAGCAAAUACUCUAGCGAGGGCCUGGAGGGCUGAUGUGGAGAAGGGUUUCUUGUGAACAGCCGUUGCACAAGAGUCAGUCGACCCUAAGCCCUAGGAGAAAUCCGAUGUUGAUGGGCAGCAAUCAUGACGACAAUGUGUGAAUGCUCCCGUCGGGCGAAAGGGAAUCUGGUUCCUAUUCCAGAACCCGGCUGCGGAACCGUAACUUCGCGGGCACUCGCCUGCGAGCGCUCGUCGGGGUAACCCAAAAUGACCCGGAGACGCCGGCGGGAGGUCUGGAAAGAGUUGUCUUUUCUUUAUAAGCGUUCGAGUUCCCUGGAAUCCUAUAGCAGGGAGAUAGGGUUUGGAACGCGAAGAGCACCGCAGUUGCGGCGGUGUCCGGACCUUCCCCCCGGACCUUGAAAAUCCGGGUGAGGGCUACGCGGAAAUGUCGCGCCGGCUCGUACCCAUAUCCGCAGCAGGUCUCCUA